AAUGAACGUUGGCGGCGUGGAUUAGGCAUGCGAGUCGCGCGAGAAUGUAGCAAUACAGGACAGCGGCGAAAGGGAGAGGACAACACGGGAAUCUGCCUUGGGGACGAGGAUAGCGUCGGGAAACUGACAGUAAUACUCGAUAAUGUUUGCGGACCAAAGGUGUGAUUCCGCCCCAAGAUGAGCCCGUGCCCCAUUAGCUAGUUGGCAGGGUAAUGGCCUACCAAGGCUGUGAUGGGUAGCUGGUGUGAGAGCACGACCAGCCUCACUGGCACUGAGACACUGACCAGACACCUACGGGUGGCUGCAGUCGAGAAUCUUCGGCAAUGGACGAAGGUCUGACCGAGCGACGCCGCGUGCGGGAUG
rnacentral:rRNA from 1 species